GACAGAGGGGGCUAGCGUUGCUCGGAAUGACUGGGCGUAAAGGGCGCGUAGGCGGUUUUGACAGUCAGACGUGAAAUUCCUGGGCUCAACCUGGGGGCUGCGUUUGAUACGUCGGGACUGGAGUGCGGAAGAGGGUCGUGGAAUUCCCAGUGUAGAGGUGAAAUUCGUAGAUAUUGGGAAGAACACCGGUGGCGAAGGCGGCGACCUGGUCCGUGACUGACGCUGAGGCGCGAAAGCGUGGGGAGCAAACAGG
rnacentral:rRNA from 1 species